rnacentral:rRNA from 1 species
AACGAACGCUGGCGGCAUGCCUAACAUAUGCAAGUCGAACGAGACCUUCGGGUCUAGUGGCGCACGGGUGCGUAACGCGUGGGAACCUGCCUUUAGGUUCGGAAUAACUCAGAGAAAUUUGAGCUAAUACCGGAUAAUGUCUUCGGACCAAAGAUUUAUCGCCAUUGGAGGGGCCCGCGUCGGAUUAGGUAGUUGGUGGGGUAAAGGCCUACCAAGCCUUCGAUCCGUAGCUGGUCUGAGAGGAUGAUCAGCCACACUGGGACUGAGAUACGGCCCAGACUCCUACGGGAGGCAGCAGUGGGGAAUAUUGGACAAUGGGCGCAAGCCUGAUCCAGCAAUGCCGCGUGAGUGAAGAAGGCCUUAGGGUUGUAAAGCUCUUUCGGCGGGGACGAUGAUGACGGUACCCGCAGAAGAAGCCCCGGCUAACUCCGUGCCAGCAGCCGCGGUAAUACGGAGGGGGCUAGCGUUGUUCGGAAUUACUGGGCGUAAAGGGCGCGUAGGCGGCGCGAUAAGUUGGGCGUGAAAGGCCCGGGCUCAACCCGGGGACUGCGCUUGAUACUGUCGCGCUGUGAGUC